AGAGUUUGAUCAUGGCUCAGAAUCAACGCUGGCGGCGUGCCUAACACAUGCAAGUCGAACGCGAAAGCCCCGCAAGGGGCAAGUAGAGUGGCAAACGGGUGAGUAACACGUGGGUGACCUGCCUUCGAGCGGGGGAUAACGUCCCGAAAGGGACGCUAAUACCGCAUGACAUCCUGCCUUUGAAGAGGUGGAGAUCAAAGCCGGGGAUCGCAAGACCUGGCACUCGGAGAGGGGCCCGCGCCUGAUUAGCUAGUUGGUGGGGUAAUGGCCUACCAAGGCAACGAUCAGUAUCCGGCCUGAGAGGGCGGACGGACACACUGGGACUGAGACACGGCCCAGACUCCUACGGGAGGCAGCAGUGGGGAAUUGUUCGCAAUGGGCGCAAGCCUGACGACGCAACGCCGCGUGGAGGAUGAAGAUUUUCGGAUCGUAAACUCCUGUCGAAUGGGACGAACAGAUCUCGGGUGAACAAUCCGAGGUCCUGACGGUACCGUUAAAGGAAACCCCGGCUAACUCCGUGCCAGCAGCCGCGGUAAUACGGGGGGGGAAAGCGUUGUUCGGAAUUACUGGGCGUAAAGGGCUCGUAGGCGGCCAACUAAGUCAGACGUGAAAUCCCUCAGCUUAACUGGGGAACUGCGUCUGAUACUGGAUGGCUUGGAUUCGGGAGAGGAAUGCGGAAUUCCAGGUGUAGCGGUGAAAUGCGUAGAUAUCUGGAGGAACACCGGUGGCGAAAGCGGCGUUCUGGACCGACAUUGACGCUGAGGAGCGAAAGCCAGGGGAGCAAACGGGAUUAGAUACCCCGGUAGUCCUGGCCCUAAAC
rnacentral:rRNA from 1 species